GACGGAGGGGGCUAGCGUUGUUCGGAAUUACUGGGCGUAAAGCGCACGUAGGCGGCCUUUCAAGUCGGACGUGAAAGCCCCGGGCUUAACCCGGGAAUUGCGUUUGAUACUGUUAGGCUUGAGACCGGGAGAGGAUAGCGGAAUUCCCAGUGUAGAGGUGAAAUUCGUAGAUAUUGGGAAGAACACCAGUGGCGAAGGCGGCUAUCUGGACCGGUACUGACGCUGAGGUGCGAAAGCGUGGGGAGCAAACAGG
rnacentral:rRNA from 1 species